GGCAAGCUGUGGAAGAACCAGCGUGGCGUAAAGGUCCAUCAGGCGAGAAUGAAAUGUUUGGAGCGGGAGAGUGAGAUGCAAUCUACAGGUCCUGAACCCGGUGAGAUGCACCCCAUAGGGUCCCUCCACACACCGGAGUCUUCCAAUCCAAAUAGAGUAGUUCCACAGCAGGGAAUUAAGUGGCCCCUGUCAGGAUUUGUGUCGUGUGGAGACGAGGAAGUGACCAAAAUGCAGGACUCGUGGAUAGUGAAGGUGGUUUAUUAUGAAGAGUGGAGGAACAGGGCAGGAGCGAAAGGACUGACUGGCUGUAAGACUGAAUGGCUGGCACAGUGAACUGAGGAAAACCGAGGACUUAAAUACACAGACUGAUGAGGAUGAUAAUGAGAGACCGCACUGUUGCAAGUCGCAAGCUUAAAGAGAAGCAAAAGAUACUGAAUCUACCUGCCCAUAAGCUGGUGACUGAUGGGGUGACCAGAUGGAACAGCACGUUGGAGAUGCUGGAACGCUUCCUAGAGCAACAACCAGCAAUCUCUGCAGCUCUGCUCUCACCUGAAGUGAGGAGAAGUGACAGUAAUCUCUGUAGUCUUACAGAGGCUGACAUAACUGAUGGAGAAGAUAUAGUGAAAGCUUUGAAGCCGCUGAAAGCAGCCACACUGGUUAUGUCUGAAGAAAAGUCCCCGACCCUUUCCAUCAUUGCACCUCUGCAUGCACAGCUGCUGGAGAAGAUGAUCAGUGUCUCUCACGACUCCUCACUGAUUAAAGACCUCAAGACUGCUGUAUACGACAACUUGAAGUCAAGAUAUGUGGCCCUAAAGGACAAGCUGUACAUUGCAUCAGCAUUAGAUCCUCGCUUUAAGGCCCUGC
ensembl:lncRNA